AAUAGAUACCCAGGUAGUCCAUGCCGUAAACGUUGGGCACUAGGUGUGGGCUCAUUCCACGAGUUCCGUGCCGCAGCAAACGCAUUAAGUGCCCCGCCUGGGGAGUACGGCCGCAAGGCUAAAACUCAAAGGAAUUGACGGGGGCCCGCACAAGCGGCGGAGCAUGCGGAUUAAUUCGAUGCAACGCGAAGAACCUUACCAAGGCUUGACAUGCACGGGAAGCCACCAGAGAUGGUGGUCUCUUUGGACACUCGUGCACAGGUGGUGCAUGGUUGUCGUCAGCUCGUGUCGUGAGAUGUUGGGUUAAGUCCCGCAACGAGCGCAACCCUCGUCCCAUGUUGCCAGCGGGUUAUGCCGGGGACUCAUGGGAGACUGCCGGGGUCAACUCGGAGGAAGGUGGGGAUGACGUCAAAUCAUCAUGCCCCUUAUGUCUUGGGCUUCACGCAUGCUACAAUGGCCGGUACAAAGGGCUGCGAUACCGUAAGGUGGAGCGAAUCCCAAAAAGCCGGUCUCAGUUCGGAUUGGGGUC
rnacentral:rRNA from 1 species